CCGGAAGCCUCGAUGGGGCAGUGAGAUCGCGGGGCGAGCCUGUCCUGCUCUGGCCUGCCCUGUGCUCAGGAAGCUGGCGGUCCCCCUCAGUGGAUCUUCACCCACAGGGACAACCUGCUGCAGACCGGGUAGGAGGGAGGCAGGGGCCUCUUCCCCUCUCCUUCCUGGCCUGGCCCCACACCCACCAGUGUUGGUUUCACUCUGUGGCUACGAUUCUUCCUGGGUGCCCUUUCCAUUGCACAACUCCUCUAGGCUCUACGAACAGAACUUCUCCCCGCCCCCAAGCCUCUUAGGGUGAGACAUGUUGUCGGUCUGCCAUUGUUGCUGGUCCCUAAAUAGCAGCACCCUUUGAAGGAUCCUUGAACCAUGACCACACCGCAACAAAGAGUCCUUCAUCAAACUCGCUUCCAAAUCCCCUCCCAAGAACACCUUCAGUUUCCUGCAAGAACCCUGACUGCUGAAGCCGGAUUUUGACUAAGCUUCUACCUUGUAAACCGUGACUGUGGGAUUGGGGUCGAGGCGCAAUCAGAGGUUGUAUAAGGCACUAGAUCAAGGCUGCCUGUCUGUCAGGAGUGUCUGCUUUAUUCAGUA
rnacentral:lncRNA from 1 species